GAUGAAGAACGUAGCGAAAUGCGAUAAGUAAUGUGAAUUGCAGAAUUCAGUGUAUCAUCGAAUCUUUGAACGCACAUUGCGCCCGGCAGUACUCUGCCGGGCAUGCCUGUUCGAGCGUCAUUUCAACCCUCAAGCCCUGCUUGGUGUUGGGGUCCCACGGCCGCCGUGGGCCCUGAAAGGAAGUGGCGGGCUCGCUACAACUCCGAGCGUAGUAAUUCAUUAUCUCGCUUAGGGCGUUGGGCGGCGCUCCUGCCGUUAAAGAACCAUCUUUAACUCAAGGUUGACCUCGGAUCAGGUAGGAAUACCCGCUGAACUUAAGCAUAUCAAUAAGCGGAGGA
rnacentral:misc_RNA from 1 species